CAAAAAUUGGGGUAUGCCACUAAGUGCAGCGAGCACACGGUAUUCUUUAGUAAAAGGCGAAAGAAUAGUUCGCUAUGUGCUCACUGCGUGGCUCCAUGACUGAUUAACUGCUAAGGAGGACUUCUAUAUACAAAGGAAGCUGGCUCUCGUCUGCUUCCCAGUUUCCAUGGAAAGGCGCAGAAAGUGCGAAUUAGCUGUGCUUCAGCACCUAUUCCUCUAGCUUACUGCUGCUUGUAUAAAAGCUUUGGACAGGGUUCAUAAUAUAAAACCAUGUAUUUCAUCCUGUAUAAAGGAUUGGAAGACAUCACAGCACAGGUCUAAAGCGUGUCGAUGUAAUAAAGGGGACAACUACAGAGGAGCUUGUCAACUACAGGGACCGCCAUUUUCCUGCUCAAUUUUGUUGCUUCACAAGUUAGAGUUAACGUGGUAAAUUCUGAAGAAGAAGCAGUUGUUUGGCAUUUAUUUCUUGAAGCAGUACAUCUUUUGGGGAGUGGAAUCCCUAUGCUACAAAGGUUCUUGAGAAUCCUCCUUGGCUUGUGAGAGUGGAAAUUCCUCGUGUAAAAGGAUGUGGUGAUAGACAAUGAAAUUUCUCCACAAAGCUGGUACCUCGGCUCAUACCACUUUGAAGCAGCCCGAGUUUUGAUUGUUGCAUUUGAAGGACAAUGUAAGAUGGAGAAACCAGAUAUUUUAUUCUGCUGUCACGUCUAAAGAGGGACGCACGGACACGGACUCCACGGUGCAACUUGAUGCAAGCCUCAACAUGGCUAGCAAAUCAUCGUGCGGACCAGAUUGCCAUAAUUCAGGUGAGAAGAGCUCAAAGGAACGCCCUUCUGCAACCAGUAACCUGGCCCAAGCAACAAUAUUGAAACCAUUUCCAUAUUCAGAGAAGGAAGGAUCAAGUGACUUCUUUCCUGACAGCAGUUCCAAGAGAACCACGCCGAAGCUA